rnacentral:snRNA from 1 species
GGAUGUGAGGGUGAUCUGGCUGCAUCUGUCACCCCACUGCUCUCCAGGGUUGAUUCGGCUGGCUAGGCGGGUGUCCCCUUCCUCCCUCACCGCUCCAUGUGCAUCCCUCCCCAAGCUGCACGCUUGAUCGAAGAGGACGACCGUCCCCCCGCCAGUAGAGGAGGACCGUUCUUCGGUCAAGGGUAUAUGAGAAGCUGCGCUCCCCUGCUAGAACCUCCAAACAAGCUCUGAAACAAAGGGACUUUGGAGCCAUCUCUGAAUCUACUCCAGUGUGGGUUGGCUAAAGAUCCAUCUUACCUAGUUCU